rnacentral:snRNA from 1 species
AUCAUGAAAUGACACCGGGUUCAGGGUGAUCAAGAAUGCUCUGAUCCCGGGUGAAGGCUCAUCAUUGCUCCUCGGCGGGCUGAAACUCGCGAAGGACCCUUAUCUGGUGCGCUCGGGUGUGCAGUUUUUGUCAGUGGGGACGCCUCAAGGUCCUCCUUU